UACGAAGGGGGCUAGCGUUGCUCGGAAUCACUGGGCGUAAAGGGUGCGUAGGCGGGUCUUUAAGUCAGGGGGUGAAAUCCUGGAGCUCAACUCCAGAACUGCCUUUGAUACUGAAGAUCUUGAGUUCGGGAGAGGUGAGUGGAACUGCGAGUGUAGAGGUGAAAUUCGUAGAUAUUCGCAAGAACACCAGUGGCGAAGGCGGCUCACUGGCCCGAUACUGACGCUGAGGUGCGAAAGCGUGGGGAGCAAACAGG
rnacentral:rRNA from 1 species